UACGUAGGGUGCAAGCGUUGUCCGGAAUUAUUGGGCGUAAAGAGCUCGUAGGCGGUCUGUCGCGUCGGCUGUGAAAACCCGGGGCUCAACCCCGGGCCUGCAGUCGAUACGGGCAGACUAGAGUGCGGUAGGGGAGACUGGAAUUCCUGGUGUAGCGGUGGAAUGCGCAGAUAUCAGGAGGAACACCGAUGGCGAAGGCAGGUCACUGGGCCGCAACUGACGCUGAGGAGCGAAAGCAUGGGGAGCGAACAGG
rnacentral:rRNA from 1 species